GUUUACCUGAAGAUAUGGAGGUUUUGUAUGUAGGAUCUUUGCGGGUGGAUGUUGAUUCUUCCGAACAAGAUGAUGUAUCACAGCUUUUGUUGGAGAGGUUUAAGUGCGUUCCUGCCUUUUUGCCUCAUGACAUUUUAUCAAAAUUUUAUCAUGGUUUUUGUAAGCAGCAAUUGUGGCCACUCUUCCAUUAUAUGCUUCCGUUCUCAGCGACUCAUGGUGGUCGGUUUGAUCGCUCUCUGUGGGAGGCAUAUGUAGCAGCAAAUAAAAUUUUUUCUCAAAGGGUGAUUGAGGUCAUUAACCCAGAUGAUGAUUUUGUAUGG
rnacentral:misc_RNA from 1 species